UACGUAGGGUGCAAGCGUUGUCCGGAAUUAUUGGGCGUAAAGAGCUCGUAGGCGGUGUGUCGCGUCUGCUGUGAAAACUCAGGGCUCAACUCUGAGCUUGCAGUGGGUACGGGCACACUUGAGUGCUGUAGGGGAGACUGGAAUUCCUGGUGUAGCGGUGAAAUGCGCAGAUAUCAGGAGGAACACCGGUGGCUAAGGCGGCUCUCUAGUAACGGGUACUGACGCUGAGACGCGAAAGCGUGGGGAGCGAACAGG
rnacentral:rRNA from 1 species